rnacentral:rRNA from 1 species
CCUACGGGGCGCAGCAGUGAGGAAUAUUGGUCAAUGGGCGGAAGCCUGAACCAGCCAAGUAGCGUGCAGGAUGACGGCCCUACGGGUUGUAAACUGCUUUUAUACGGGAAUAACGCGCCUUACGUGUAGGGCUUUGCAUGUACCGUAUGAAUAAGGACCGGCUAAUUCCGUGCCAGCAGCCGCGGUAAUACGGAAGGUACGGGAGUUAUCCGGAUUUAUUGGGUUUAAGGGGAGCGUAGGCCGCAUGUCAAGCGUGCUGUGAAAUUUCCGGGCUCAACCCGGGCCUUGCAGCGCGAACUGGCGUGCUUGAGUCCGCGGAAAGCAGGCGGAAUUCGUCGUGUAGCGGUGAAAUGCUUAGAUAUGACGAAGAACCCCGAUUGCGAAGGCAGCUUGCUGCAGCGGAACUGACGCUGAUGCUCGAAAGCGCAGGUAUCGAACAGAAUUAGAUACCCCUGUAGUC